rnacentral:lncRNA from 1 species
AGAUCAAUAAGUAGACAACACUUUAUCCAUUGCUUCACUAAGUAAGAUGCAGUGGGCUUGGUCUCUAAGUCCUGUGGCCUCACCUAACAAUUAUUGGCACAUUUUUUAGUUAAGUCAGACCCAUCGUUCACCAGCAGACGUAAAGUCAUCAUUGGAACUCUCACUUAACAGUUAUUAGGCCCAACCCCAUCUCUAUCCCGGGAUAUCAAAUGUCAAUAGAGUGAUUGUACCUUCUUGAUGCAACCAAACUACUGAACC